AAAUGAAGGCGAUCGAGUGAUCCCGGCAAUAGUCGGCGA
rnacentral:sRNA from 1 species